GUUAAAUUUUCCUGUAGUUUUAGUUUUCCAGUAGUUUUUAGUAUUUGAUUUAGUUCUUCUAACUACUUUAAUUGAAAUUUCCAAAAAAGCGCUGACAAAAAUGAGCGUUCCUGACCGGUAGUUUUACCGUUUUACCCACGCUAAUUGCAUUUUUCUCGAUUUUACCGCACAGUUCUGUUUUAGAACCAAGCCACUUAAGGUUCAAUUCAACUAGCCAGCGUUACCAAUCU
rnacentral:sRNA from 1 species